UAGGGAGACCUAAUCCAUUUAGAAAUCGAAAGCAGUGAAAAUUGUGGGUAGAAACUAAAUUGGUCUAACCUAGGUCGGUCGCAGACUUGAAGUAAAGCUUUCAAACUAUGAUUUGGUUCGAUAAGGGCUAUUAGCUCAGGUGGUUAGAGCGCACCCCUGAUAAGGGUGAGGUCCCUGGUUCGAGUCCAGGAUGGCCCACCUGAAGGAAGUCAAAAAUCAAAAGUCAAAAGUCAAAAUUAAAUAUUUUUGAAGCAUGACUAGAAAUUUUGAGUUCUUUUUGGGGGUUUAGCUCAGUUGGUAGAGCGCCUGCUUUGCAAGCAGGAUGUCAGCGGUUCGAGUCCGCUAACCUCCACAUUGGAAAAAAAACAGCACCUAACUAUAAAAGUUAGACUGCUGGGUGAAAUUCCAGCCAGAACCUUGAAAACUGCAUAAGAGAACGAGAAAAAGCAGGCAGACACAGACAUUUGAAUGGAUGUGAAAGCAAAGAAAAAUUGUGGUCAAGCUAAUAAGGGC
rnacentral:tRNA from 1 species